rnacentral:lncRNA from 1 species
AAUCUUAUUCAGACACAGACUUUGGCCAGGUCCCUGUAGAAGUCAUAGGAGAGUUGGGGUUUCAAGACAAAACAAUAAGAACAACAACAAAAAUAAUAAAACCAACAAUCUUCAGUCCUUUUUGCUUAGUGGGGGUGGAAAGGCCACUGUAGAGAACUUCUUUAAUCCAAGGACACCCACACCAAUAAAAGCAGACGGCAAGGGAACCAGGACAAGCAUGGCUGUGAAGGGACUAGAAACAGAUCUGGCAGGUGGAUAUGCAAUCAUUCCUAUGUGAUGAAGCUCCAGUAAAAUCUCUGGACACCAGCACAGGAUGGGAUGUCCUUUUGCAGAGGAAGCCCAGGUUGGACUUGAACUUCUGGGCUCAAGUUGCCCAUGCUGGACUUGAACUCCUGGGCUCAAGUGGUCCUCUGGCCUCAGCCUCCCAUGUAGCUGAGUCUACUGAUGUAUACCAUCACACCUGGCUUUUUCUUUUCAUUGGAAAAUUUAGUCCAUUUACAUUUAAAGUAAUUGUAAUAGUACCCCUUCUAUUACGAGGGAGGAAAAUAAAACUCAGAUUUCAGGAAUCAAUCAAGGUCAUGUAGCAACCUGGUGGUCAGCCAGAGCUAGAAAUUAUCAAAUAUGAUGAUCCAGCCGGUGUGGUGUAUUCUGAUAUGAGGAGAAUUUCUCUUUUGGUCUUGGACAUAUUCCUUAGACUGACAUGUCACUGGGCCAAUAUUUGAGAUAUGAGACCUGAAACUGGGGCAGCCAUUGCGAGACCCUGAUGACAGCCAGCCCAAUGGCAAUGCAGACACACACAGCAUGGUGGCAUGAGAUCAUGUCCUAAGAAAUGAGAGAAUUUGAUGUCAUCGUGUGCUGCAGUCAGCCAGCCUUGGAACUCACCAUACCUCUGGACUGCUUGAUAGGGUUCCAGUUCACCUUCCAAUCACCAUUAGACGAAGUUACUCAUUUUUCCAAAAGCAGAGAACAAGAUUGCAGAAGACAACUUGACGUUCCAUUUUAGGAACCAAUAACCCUCAUAUUUGGAAAUUUCAUUACUACACUUUCAGAGGUAUGUUUUACAUUCAGAGUCGGAAACCCCAACAUGCUAUGCAGUUUGAACUUAGCAGGUUCUUCUCAAGCUUGUCUUGCAUGUUCUAAGCUUAGAAAAAUAUUUUACUUUUACUGUUUCCCAAAUUAUAUUGACUGGGAAAAGUUAC